rnacentral:misc_RNA from 1 species
GUCUGGAUAUAUUUGCCAAACCACCUUAAUACUGAGCUUUAAAUAUUUGCUUAGUAAAAUGGUUUAUUGUCAGUCUUAGAACUUCCAACAUCUCAUGUUGCUGAAUAUUAUUAUGGCUUGAACUUGAGUGUCCCGUAUUGUAAUGUGAAUGGCAGUGGUUCUUUGCAAUUUGUCUUUAUCUCCCACAGGCCCACAGUUCCCCAUCAGUUUAAUAUUGUUUCUACAUUUUUAGAAGUUAUACAUGUUGGCAACACUAA